GAGGCGGUAUCGCCAUGAGCGAAUUGCACUCUGCAGCAAGUGGGAAUUAUGAUUUAGAACACCUUCAUAACUGUUAUGCCGGUUACGUUGGAUUCUGCUCUGAGCCGAAAGGACCGAGACAGAAGG
rfam:Paenibacillus sp. Y412MC10, complete genome.